GAUGAACGCUGGCGGCGUGCCUAAUACAUGCAAGUCGAGCGAACAGACGAGGAGCUUGCUCCGCUGACGUUAGCGGAGGAGGGGUGAGAAACACGUGGAUAACCUACCUAUCAGACUGGGAUAACUUCGGGAAACCGGAGCAAAUACCGGAGAAGAUAUUGAACCGCAUGGGUCAAUAGAGAAAGACGGUGUUGGGGGCAGGAAUAGAUGGAUACGCGCCGCAUUAGCUAGUUGGGAAGGUAAAGGGUUACCAAGGGGACGAUGCGUAUCCCACCGGAUAGGCGGGUCGCCCGCCCGGGAACGUAGCCGCCGUCCAUGCUCCUACGGUACGCCGCAGUAGGCAACCUUCCGCAACAGGCGGGAGCCUUACGGAGCAACGCCGCGCCAGUGAUGACGGUCUUCGGUUCGUAAAGCUCUGUUAUUAGUUAAGAACCAAUUUGUCAUUAACCAUGCCCGUCUUGACGGUACCUAAUCAGGAAGCCCCGGCUAACUACGUG
rnacentral:rRNA from 1 species